rnacentral:rRNA from 1 species
UACGUAGGGUGCAAGCGUUGUCCGGAAUUAUUGGGCGUAAAGAGCUUGUAGGCGGUUUGUCGCGUCUGCUGUGAAAUUUCGGGGCUCAACCCCGAACUUGCAGUGGGUACGGGCAGACUAGAGUGUGGUAGGGGAGACUGGAAUUCCUGGUGUAGCGGUGAAAUGCGCAGAUAUCAGGAGGAACACCGAUGGCGAAGGCAGGUCUCUGGGCCAUAACUGACGCUGAGAAGCGAAAGCAUGGGGAGCGAAACAGG